AGACCCGGCUCAUUGGACCAGCUGCAGCAGCAGGAAGCUCAGGGCAAAGCAGUGGCUAAGAUGGCCCGCCAAAAGUUGCAGGAGACCCAGGGGAGGGAGUUGCUGAGGACGGGGCCCCAAGAGGGACAACCUGGCAACCUCUGUGCCUUCUCACCCUCUUUCCUGGCAUCUCAGGAGCACCUGGAAGCUACCAGCCAGCAGAACCAGCAACUACAGGCCCAGUUGAGCCUCAUGGCUCUCCCUGGGGAAGGUACGGGACACCACUCAGAGGAAGAGGAGAGAGCCCCAGGAGGAAAGGGGGACUGUUAGCACUGUAGGAUUGAGGAGAUGGAAGAGACCUUUAAGACAGCUGGCCAUUAUGCUGACUGGGUGUCUGCACUAAGUUUGGCAUCAAUAUGGUGACCUCCUGGGAGCGGGGGACCACCAGGUUGCCUAAGGAUGGGAGAACUGGCCCAGGUCAGAAAUGGAGCAGGUCAGAAUUCCUGCACCAAUCGGUAGUGGGACUGUGCCUGGGCAAUAUAGCAAGAUCUUGGUUCUUAAAAGUAAAAAUAAAGAACAGCUCAUUC
rnacentral:lncRNA from 1 species